UGUGUGUGUGUGUGUGUGUGUGCGUGCGUGCGUGCGUGCGUAUAUAUACACACACACACACACACA